UGGGGAAUUUUGGACAAUGGGGGAAACCCUGAUCCAGCCAUCCCGCGUGUGCGAUGAAGGCCUUCGGGUUGUAAAGCACUUUUGGCAGGAAAGAAACGUCGCGGGUUAAUACCCCGCGAAACUGACGGUACCUGCAGAAUAAGCACCGGCUAACUACGUGCCAGCAGCCGCGGUAAUACGUAGGGUGCAAGCGUUAAUCGGAAUUACUGGGCGUAAAGCGUGCGCAGGCGGUUCGGAAAGAAAGAUGUGAAAUCCCAGAGCUUAACUUUGGAACUGCAUUUUUAACUACCGGGCUAGAGUGUGUCAGAGGGAGGUGGAAUUCCGCGUGUAGCAGUGAAAUGCGUAGAUAUGCGGAGGAACACCGAUGGCGAAGGCAGCCUCCUGGGAUAACACUGACGCUCAUGCACGAAAGCGUGGGGAGCAAACAGGAUUAGAUACCCUGGUAGUCCACGCCCUAAACGAUGUCAACUAGCUGUUGGGGCCUUCGGGCCUUGGUAGCGCAGCUAACGCGUGAAGUUGACCGCCUGGGGAGUACGGCCGCAAGAUUAAAACUUAAAUGAAUUGACGGGGGUCAUAGCUG
rnacentral:rRNA from 1 species